UGGGAAGAGGCUCAGUGGUAGAGUGCUUGCCUUGUAUGCAUGAGGCCCUAGGUUCAAUUCCUCAGCAUCACAU
rfam:Dipodomys ordii contig_68781, whole genome shotgun sequence.